UGUCAUCUCCUAUUAAAGAACCGGUAACUGUAAAGACGUUGUCUCAGCUGAGGUCAAAUAUAUCAGUGCAGCCAGGGAUGCAGACAAUGCUAAUUUGAAUGAAAAUCCCCUGCCUGAUGGUUAGCGUGACACUUUGGCAUCAGCAGACCAUGCCUGGAUUUCCAAGGCGCUAUUUAGGUACCCGGCUAAAAGUACGGCGGAGAAGAAGAUUGAGCUAAAGACGGACAAUCUUCAACUUUGGAUGUAUCCACCUCAGCCGUCUCUCACUUACACACAGAUACCUCGAGUGGAUAGGUACUUUAGUACUCGUCUGCUAGUCUGGAUGCCGAAAAGACUGUGGAAGGUACAGCUGGUUUGCCUUAAUACCGACUGCCGUAGAAGACAGCUUACUCAUGCUGGUCUCUACCCAAGAGUAAGACAAGUUCUAGAUAUCUGUGACUAUUA